rnacentral:rRNA from 1 species
AGUGAACGCUGGCGGUAGGCCUAACACAUGCAAGUCGAACGGCAGCACAGUAAGAGCUUGCUCUUACGGGUGGCGAGUGGCGGACGGGUGAGGAAUACAUCGGAAUCUACUUUUUCGUGGGGGAUAACGUAGGGAAACUUACGCUAAUACCGCAUACGACCUACGGGUGAAAGCAGGGGAUCUUCGGACCUUGCGCGAUUGAAUGAGCCGAUGUCGGAUUAGCUAGUUGGCGGGGUAAAGGCCCACCAAGGCGACGAUCCGUAGCUGGUCUGAGAGGAUGACCAGCCACACUGGAACUGAGACACGGUCCAGACUCCUACGGGAGGCAGCAGUGGGGAAUAUUGGACAAUGGGCGCAAGCCUGAUCCAGCCAUACCGCGUGGGUGAAGAAGGCCUUCGGGUUGUAAAGUACUUUUGUUGGGAAAGAAAAGCAGCAGGUUAAUACCCCGCUGUUCUGACGGUACCCAAAGAAUAAGCACCGGCUAAGUUCGUG